rnacentral:rRNA from 1 species
GAUGAACGCUAGCGGCAGGCUUAACACAUGCAAGUCGAGGGGUAUAGUUCUUCGGAACUAGAGACCGGCGCACGGGUGCGUAACGCGUAUGCAAUCUACCUUUCACAAAGGGAUAGCCCAGAGAAAUUUGGAUUAAUACCUUAUAGUAAUACGACUUGGCAUCAAGAUGUAUUUAAAGAUUUAUCGGUGAAAGAUGAGCAUGCGUCCAUUAGCUUGUUGGUAAGGUAACGGCUUACCAAGGCAACGAUGGGUAGGGGUCCUGAGAGGGAGAUCCCCCACACUGGUACUGAGACACGGACCAGACUCCUACGGGAGGCAGCAGUGAGGAAUAUUGGACAAUGGGCGCAAGCCUGAUCCAGCCAUGCCGCGUGCAGGAUGACGGUCCUAUGGAUUGUAAACUGCUUUGUACAGGAAGAAACCCUUUCACGUGUGGAAGAUUGACGGUACUGUAAGAAUAAGGAUCGGCUAACUCCGUGCCAGCAGCCG